rnacentral:rRNA from 1 species
GCGUAACAUUAGCUAGUUGGUGAGGUAAUGGCUCACCAAGGCUUCGAUGUUUAGGGGACCUAAGAGGGUUAACCCCCACACUGGUACUGAGACACGGACCAGACUCCUACGGGAGGCAGCAGUAAGGAAUAUUGGACAAUGGUCGCAAGACUGAUCCAGCCAUGCCGCGUUAAGGAUGAAGGCGCUAUGCGUUGUAAACUUCUUUUAUACGGGAAAAAACCCUUGGAUGCGUCCGAGGCUGAUUGUACCGUAAGAAUAAGGAUCGGCUAACUUCGUGCCAGCAGCCGCGGUAAUACGAAGGAUCCAAGCGUUAUCCGGAUUUAUUGGGUUUAAAGGGUGCGUAGGCGGUUUUGUAAGUCAGUGGUGAAAUCUUCGGGCUUAACCCGGAAAUUGCCAUUGAUACUGCAGAACUUGAGUACAUAUGAAGUGGGCGGAAUAUGACAUGUAGUGGUGAAAUACUUAGAUAUGUCAUAGAACACCGAUUGCGAAGGCAGCUCACUAAACUGUAACUGACGCUGAUGCACGAAAGCGUGGGGAUCAAACAGGAUUAGAUACCCUGGUAGUCCACGCCGUAAACGUUGAUAACUAGAUGUUGGCGAUACACUGUCAGCGUCUAAGCGAAAGCGAUAAGUUAUCCACCCUGGAGUACGACCGCAAGGUUG